GAUGAACGCUGGCGGCGUGCCUAAUACAUGCAAGUCGAGCGAACGGACGAGAAGCUUGCUUCUCUGAUGUUAGCGGCGGACGGGUGAGUAACACGUGGAUAACCUACCUAUAAGACUGGGAUAACUUCGGGAAACCGGAGCUAAUACCGGAUGAUAUUUUGAACCGCGUGGUUCAAAAGUGAAAGACGGUCUUGCUGUCACUUAUAGAUGGAUCCGCGCUGCAUUAGCUAGUUGGUAAGGUAAUGGCUUACCAAGGCAACGAUGCAUAGCCGACCUGAGAGGGUGAUCGGCCACACUGGAACUGAGACACGGUCCAGACUCCUACGGGAGGCAGCAGUAGGGAAUCUUCCGCAAUGGGCGAAAGCCUGACGGAGCAACGCCGCGUGAGUGAUGAAGGUCUUCGGAUCGUAAAACUCUGUUAUUAGGGAAGAACAUAUGUGUAAGUAACUGUGCACAUCUUGACGGUACCUAAUCAGAAAGCCACGGCUAACUACGUG
rnacentral:rRNA from 1 species